rnacentral:rRNA from 1 species
AUACGGAAGGGGGGCUAGCGUUUGGUUUCGGGAAUUACUGGGCGUAAAUGCGCGCGCAGGCGGUCUUCCAAGUCAGUGGUGAAAGCCUGGAGCUCAACUCCAGAACUGCCAUUGAAACUGUUAGACUUGAGUACGAGAGAGGUGAGUGGAAUUCCCAGUGUAGAGGUGAAAUUCGUAGAUAUUGGGGAAGAACACCGGUGGCGAAGGCGGCUCACUGGCUCGUAACUGACGCUCAGGCGCGACAGCGUGGGGAUCAAACAGG